GGACUACCCGGGUAUCUAAUCCCGUUUGCUCCCCUAGCUUUCGCGCCUCAGCGUCAGAAGAGGUCCAGUCCGCCGCUUUCGCCACCGGCGUUCCUUCUGAUAUCUACGCAUUUCACCGCUCCACCAGAAGUUCCGCAGACCCCUACCUCCCUCGAGACUGGCAGUAUCCAAGGCACUUUUCCAGUUAAGCUGAAAGAUUUCACCCCGGACUUGCCAAUCCGCCUACGCGCCCUUUAAGCCCAGUGAAUCCGAACAACGUUCGCACGGUUCGUCUUACCGCGGCUGCUGGCAC
rnacentral:rRNA from 1 species